CUGCUUACCUGGCAGAGGACAGACCGUGAUCACAAAGGCGGUUUUCUCAGGGUGAGGCUUCUCCAUUGUACUCUGGAUGCGCUGAUCCCUGCAAUUUCCCCAAAUGUGGGAAACUCGACUGCGUCAUUUGUGGUAAUGGGGAACUGCAUUUGCACUCUCCCCU
ensembl:snRNA U1 U1 spliceosomal RNA